UACGGGGGGGGCAAGCGUUGUUCGGAAUUACUGGGCGUAAAGGGCUCGUAGGCGGCCAACUAAGUCAGACGUGAAAUCCCCAGGCUCAACCUGGGAACUGCGUCUGAUACUGGAUGGCUUGAAUCCGGGAGAGGGAUGCAGAAUUCCAGGUGUAGCGGUGAAAUGCGUAGAUAUCUGGAAGAACACCGGUGGCGAAGGCGGCAUCCUGGACCGGUAUUGACGCUGAGGCGCGAAAGCUAGGGGAGCAAACGGG
rnacentral:rRNA from 1 species